CUAUGUUACGACUUAUCUUACCUUAUAAAUAAGAGCGACGGGCGAUGUGUACAUAUUUUAGAGCUACAAUCAAAUUUUUAAUCUUUAAAAAUUUACUGUCAAAUCCACCUUCACUAAACAUUUCAAAUUUAGAUUCAUUUAAAUAAUUUUAUUGUAACCCAUCUCUACUUAAAUAUAAGCUACACCUUGAUCUGAUAUAAAUUUUUAUAAAAAUUAUAGAAAAUUAUUAUUCUUAUAAAAUAUUCUAAUAACGACGGUAUAUAAACUGAAAAACAAAUUUAAGUAAGGUACAUCGUGGAUUAUCAAUUACAGGACAGGUUCCUCUGAAUAGACUAAAAUACCGCCAAAUUUUUUAAGUUUCAAGAACAUAACUACUACUACCUAAGUGUUAAUAUUUAAAUUUUCAAUAAUAGGGUAUCUAAUCCUAGUUUA
rnacentral:rRNA from 1 species